AGAUGAUGCAGAUGGAUAAGAAGAAGUGAAGAAGGACAAAAACAUGUGUAGCACAUUCCCAUCUGCACCACUGUGGAGCUUUACUGAAACUUCACCAUGACGUCUCCACCAUACGUAAGACAGUCAUAUGGCUCUUCCCAGUUGUAAGCUAGUCUUGGAAAUGCAAGAGCAGAAGAAAGAGGUCAGCACAGAAGGCUGUUUUCGCAGAGGAGCUGGGAUGAUCAGAGCUGUCUCACGCCCAGUCUUAAUGACACAAAGACAAGUUAGGAGGACCUCAAGGACGUCACUCCAAAAUUGAGGCUGCUUCUUGCCCACGAGUGGGAUUCAGGACAGAGGAAGCCGAGGCUCAGCCAGCUGCCUGCACACGCCAGCGCCCAGCUCCCCACUGGCUGCACAGCCCUAGGAAUCCAGAUGUUCUUUCCUGCAGACCCCAAGAGGCAGGCCUGCAGUUGCAGCGGCCCUGGAGGGGAAAAUAACCCAGACUCCAAAAGUAAACUCUGCCAGCAUUUACGCACUGAUAUCGGAACUGCUCGUUCUAACUCCCAGAAGAGCAGAGUGGUCUUAGCUCGCAGACGCAGUGAAUGUGCCCGCGCCCUUCUGCCCAUUCUCCCAUGAAACAAGCACGCUUGAGGAUGCAGGGAGCCCAGGGUGAGGAGGAGAAAGCGGCGCUGCCAGUACUGGGCACCGACUGCAGCACUGAGAUCAGACCGGGCCACUGGCAUGUGGUCUGACCUCUCCUAAAAAAUAAAAGUAAAACAUCAUGUUUUCCGCAGA